UGGGUAACCUGCCUUAUAGUGGGGGAUAGCCUUUCGAAAGGAAGAUUAAUACCGCAUAUGAUUGUAGUAUCGCAUGAUAUAGCAAUUAAAGGAGCAAUUCGCUAUAAGAUGGACCCGCGUCGCAUUAGCUAGUUGGUGAGGUAAUGGCUCACCAAGGCGACGAUGCGUAGCCGACCUGAGAGGGUGAUCGGCCACAUUGGGACUGAGACACGGCCCAGACUCCUACGGGAGGCAGCAUG
rnacentral:rRNA from 1 species